rnacentral:rRNA from 1 species
GAAGAACCUUACCUACUCUUGACAUCCAGCGAAUCCUUUAGAGAUAGAGGAGUGCCUUCGGGAACGCUGAGACAGGUGCUGCAUGGCUGUCGUCAGCUCGUGUUGUGAAAUGUUGGGUUAAGUCCCGCAACGAGCGCAACCCUUAUCCUUUGUUGCCAGCACGUAAUGGUGGGAACUCAAAGGAGACUGCCGGUGAUAAACCGGAGGAAGGUGGGGAUGACGUCAAGUCAUCAUGGCCCUUACGAGUAGGGCUACACACGUGCUACAAUGGCAGAUACAAAGAGAAGCGACCUCGCGAGAGCAAGCGGAACUCAUAAAGUCUGUCGUAGUCCGGAUUGGAGUCUGCAACUCGACUCCAUGAAGUCGGAAUCGCUAGUAAUCGUAGAUCAGAAUGCUACGGUGAAUACGUUCCCGGGCCUUGUACACACCGCCCGUCACACCAUGGGAGUGGGUUGCAAAAGAAGUAGGUA